rnacentral:misc_RNA from 1 species
CUAAGGACAUACAUAUAAAAAUCAUCAUCUUCAGUUUUGAAAGACUUAGGUUAAAAUAUAAGUUUUUCUUUUUAUAAAAAAAAGUGUUUCUCUUAUAUAAAAGACCAAAGGGCCUAUAGCUCAGUUGGUUAGAGCACACGCCUGAUAAGCGUGAGGUCGGUGGUUCAAGUCCACUUAGGCCCACCAAUUUUAUAUCAGGAAAAUAUUUACUUCGAAGAAAGUUCUUUGAAAAGUAGAUAAACAUGAUUUGCUUAAUUCAAUUAAUUUU